rnacentral:rRNA from 1 species
GAUGAACGCUGGCGGCGUGCCUAAUACAUGCAAGUCGAGCGAACGGACGAGAAGCUUGCUUCUCUGAUGUUAGCGGCGGACGGGUGAGUAACACGUGGAUAACCUACCUAUAUGACUGGGAUAACUUCGGGAAACCGUAGCUAAUACCGGAUAAUAUUUUGCACCGUAUGGUUCAAAAGUGAAAGACGGCCUUGCUGUCACUUAUCGCUGGAUCCGCGCUGCUUUAGCUAGUUGGUAAGGUAACGGCUUACCAAGGCAACGAUGCAUAGCCGACCUGAGAGAGGGAUCGGCCACCCUGGAGCUGGGACACGCUCCAGACUCCUACGAGAGGCACCAGAAGGGAAUCUGCCGCAGUAGGCGAGAGCCUGACGGAGCGAGGCCGCGUGAGUGGUGAAGGUCUUCGGAGCGUGAAACUCUGUUAUUAGGGAAAAACAUAUGUGUAAGUAGCUGUGCACAUAUUGACGGUACCGAAUCAGAAAGCCACGGCUAACUACGUG